rnacentral:ncRNA from 1 species
GAAGUGAUAUCGGGAGAGACUGCAGCGGUUUGGCCGUGUGCAGCGCCGAAGGAGCAACCGCCCCGGAAACUCUCAGGCAAAAGGACCGUUAUCACGGG